UCCAUCUGGAUUUUCAUUUUUUUCUUGGGUGGGGUUGUGGGGUUCACCAUAACCAAAAAGUUAGAAAAUUCAAACAAAGUUUACCUGUAAAACCCAGGCAAGUUUGGCUCUAUUCUAUCUAAUGGAACUAUUAUUUGUGAGAGAAACAAAGCCCUUUUUUUCUUGCCGCCUUCUCCACAACUUUGUAUUCCUCCUUUCCUCUGUCAUUUUUUGUCUCCUCUCUCUUUUUUCUCCUUUGUCAGACUCCUUAAACUCUUCUUCAGGGAAGCUUUCGCUAACAUAUCUGCUUGCAGAGUUUGGGUGAGAUGAGAAGGUUGUGUUUAAUUGUUCUGCCUGGCUCCCUGAAUGCCAUCUAAGAAGCUUGUCAAAGAGUGUUGGCAACCUUCCUACUUGGCAUGAGGGGAGUCAUGCAGGCAGCACCAAAAAUAAAUAUCAGUCAGCGUCAGCUCCUCCACAUCUGGAGUGGUCUCAUGAAUGGCGUGAGGCUCUGUGGGAUUAGGAGAGGAGAAAGAUAAGAGUUGUGGUGAUAGGAGAUGGAGUUGAUCCGGUCAGGUUGAUUAAAGGCUUAACUAAAUGCUAAUCAUAUCAACUAGAGACAGAGAGACAGACAGGCAUAGAGAAAGAGGAAGAGAUAUACAGUAAUGCUAAAUAUAGUAGUUAUCGUUGUUGUAAAAUUUGCAGUUUCCACUGUUUUGGAUUGUUGAGAAAUUGUGCAGAACUGCUGAAAAUUUAGCUAGCAAAGAAAUCA